GUGUUUGAUUCUCUCCAGUAAACUCCACUUGUGAUCAAUAUCCUUCUUCAUAAAAGAACCGGCACAAGAAGUGUCAAGCAUGGUACGAUCUUCAUGAGAAAGCCGAGCAUAAAAGUUUUGAGUGAUGAUUUCUCUCGAGAGCUCAUGAUUGGGGCAUGAAUAUAGCAUUGAUUUAAGCCUCCUCCAAGCUUGAGCUAUGCUUUCCCUUUCACGAGGCCAAAAGUUAUAAAUAAAGUUCCGAUCACGAUGUACUAAAUGCAUAGGGUAGAACUUUUGAUGAAAUUCCAAUUUCAACCGAUUGUAGCCCCAUGAUCCAGCAUCAUCACAUAGCCUAUACCAUGUCAACACCUUAUCCUUCAAAGAUAAAGGAAAUAAUUUCUUCUUUACCUCAUCCUCGGGCAAACCUGCAAGCUUAAAUAAACCACAAACUUCAUCUACAUAGAUUAGAUGAAAGUCUGGAUGUGAAGAUCCAUCUCCUGUAAAAGGAUUAGCCAACAGUUUCUCAAGCAUACCCAAAGGAAUUUCAUAAAAGAUAUUUUCAGUAGGUACCUCAGGUUCAGGAGCAACUCCUCGUGCUUCCGUUCGUGGUGAAGAUACCCCGAACAAACUCCUCAAAGGAAGAGUUUCCAUAGUGACAAGUGACAAUAAAUUUCAGCAGAGUAUAUAAAUGUUUCCUUACUAAUUUCCACUUACCAAAGACGCUUCACUCCCCGGCAACGGCGCCAGAAAAGAGUCUUGAUGACCCACAAGUAUAGGGGAUCAAUCGUAGUCCUUUCGAUAAGCAGGAGUGUCGAACCCAACGAGGAGCAGAAGGCUCUGAUAAACGGAUUUCAGCAAGGUAAUAACUGCAAGCACUGAAAGUAGCGGUAACAAGUGAUUGUGUAGCGAGGUGAAAUGUAGGAAGCAAAGAGUAACAAGUAACAAGUAGUAGCAAUGGUGCAGCAAGUGGCCCAAUCCCUUUUUCAGCAAGGGACAAGCCUGAACAAAGUCUUAUAGGAGGAAAACGCUCCCAAGGACACACGGGAAUUUCUGUCAUGCUAGUUUCAUCAUGUUCAUAUGAUUUGCGUUCGUUACUUUGAUAGUUUGAUAUGUGGGUGGACCGGCGCUUGGGUACUGCCCUUACUUGGACAAGCAUCCCACUUAUGAUUAACCCCUCUCGCAAGCAUCCGCAACUAAAAAAUAAGAAUUAAGACAAAGUCUAACCAUAGCAUUAAACUAGUGGAUCCAAAUCAGCCCCUNNNNNNNNNNNNNNNNNNNNNNNNNNNNNNNNNNNNNNNNNNNNNNNNNNNNNNNNNNNNNNNNNNNNNNNNNNNNNNNNNNNNNNNNNNNNNNNNNNNNNNNNNNNNNNNNNNNNNNNNNNNNNNNNNNNNNNNNNNNNNNNNNNNNNNNNNNNNNNNNNNNNNNNNNNNNNNNNNNNNNNNNNNNNNNNNNNNNNNNNNNNNNNNNNNNNNNNNNNNNNNNNNNNNNNNNNNNNNNNUGAAGUGUUAUGUAGUCUACGUUCACAUAACACCACUAGAGGAAACAUAACAUACAGCAUAUGAAAAUACCGAACGAAUAUCAAAUUCACAUGACUUAUCCCAUGUCCUCAGGAACAAAAGUAACUAUUCACAAGACAUAAUCAUAAUCAUGACCAGAGGUGUAAUGAAUAGCAUCAAGGAUCUGAACGUAAACUCUUCCACCAAGUAAUCCAACUAGCAUCAACUACAAAGAGUAAUCAACACUACUAGCAACCUUACAAGUACCAAUCGGAGUUGCGAGACGAAGAUUGGUUACAAGAGAUGAACUAGGGAUUGGAGAGGAGAUGGUGCUGAUGAAGAUGUUGAUGAAGAUGCCUCCCCUCCGACGAGAGGAGUGUUGGUGAUGACGAUGGCGACGAUUUCCCCCUUCGGGAGGGAAGUUUCCCCGGCAGGAUCGUCCUGCCGGAGCUCUACAUUGGAUCUGCUCAAGUUCCGCCUCGUGGCGCCGGCGAAACCACGAGAAAGCUCUCUGUUCAAAUAAACCUUGCAAAAUAAGAGAGAAAAGGCAUAAAUAUGAUACCACAAGUAAUAUAACAGCCCAAAAAAGCAAUAAAUAUCAACAUGAAAGCAUGAUGCAAAAUGGACGUAUCAGUGUAGGGUACGAAUGGAGAGGGCAGAGUCCUAGCUAUGGCAAGAUUGUAUGCAAGAUGUAUGAGUUCAAGCCCCUCUCUUGGAGGUAAUAGCCCUACGUCUCAGGUGCUCAGGAGCUCUUGCAUGGUGGUUUGUGUAGUAUAGGGGGUGCGAACCCUUGUGCCAGAGGGGAGGGGUGGCUUAUAUAGAGUGCGCCACCUCUCAUCAAUACCUCAGCAUCUAAGGUCUCGGUCAAUAUGAGUUAAAGAUAUACAUUACUGAUAACGUAAGUGGGUAAUAAAUGCUACUAAACACCAUUGGUUGAAUGUGUGUCCGUUGGCCGUCGUGGGUAACUGUUGAUCUUCAGUACCGACUGGAAUUCUUCCGAGUGCAUUUGGGUUGUCGAGUGGAUGUAAAUUUAAUCCGAGUGUCUUCGUGCCGAGUGACUUUUAGGUAUCAUCUUCGUCCAGUCGGAGUCUUUUGUCUGGCCCUUGGCCUAAUAAUGAGGUGCCCUUGGGUAGGACAUUUAGGUCAGGCCUGUGACCCUAUUGAAGAUGAGGAAUUCGGUGUGACCUGAAGAAAACACUCUGCAGACUUUGAAGCAUGAAGAUUUAUUCUUUCUAUUUCAUUUUCUUUACACUUGAGUCAUAGGAACGACAUACUGUUAAAGGGGGUCGAGGUAAAACUAUGACAUGAUUUUCCUCAUGAUGCUCAACCCAAGCCUAAAUCUACCAAAGCCUCAAAGUGAGGAAUAUGAGAGACAUGAGGACUUUCAUAGUUGAAAGUUUCGACCGUUGCCGCAACACACGCCACCUCACUGAUCUUAUCCACCCAACGGUCAUAUUAUUUAAGGGCGUUUAUGUCAAAUCAUAUCGGGAUGCUCCCAGGCUUAAAUAGUCGUCCCCCACAACCACUUGCUGGUUGGCUGCUCCGAGAGAAACCGACACUUGUCAUUUAGAGCAACCCAAAUUCCUUAGAGUCUUCGAGAGAAAAUCAUCAAGUGAGGAAAUACCCCAAACACCAAACCCAAACCAAAAACCCAAGUGAUUGAGCAUCAGUGAAGAAAUUGUUCCUGUGUGGAACCGACGCUUUUUACCUUUGAGGAUUGUGUAUACUCCAGAUGGUUAGGCGUCAUGGUCUAGAGCAUCCAGCAGUCAAUUAUGUAUCGUCGGGUGACCGAUCUUGUGAGGGUUUGGAAGUCUGCCCUAAAGACUUACCACGAGUGUUGGGCGAGGACUAUGUGUCCUUAGCACGAGGAGAAUACGGUAGGGACUGUGUGUCCUUUUGGUUUCAAUACCAAGCCGCUUCGAACGACACGUACAACUGCCACAACAGUUGGAACUCGGUCAUCAACAACUGCCUUCAUCAAGCUACGGGUUCUAUUUCCCCAACUCUUUUAUUUUCUCAAUUGUAUAUUGAAGACUUUCAUUUGUACUCUUUGAAUAAUUUGUCUGAAGACUUUCUCUGAAUUUCCUCAACCUCAAAUUCUUCACUCGAGUUAAUCUUCACCUGCUUACUCUCUACUUGCGAACUGUGCAAACCGAAUCUCAUAAAUCUCGUCAAGUACUUUGCUUUAGUCGUUUUUGCACUCCUGAUCCUGUACUACUUCCGCUGCACUUAGUUCAUGAUUGAGGACUUUCCUCACAAGGAAUUUCCUCGGUGAUGAAAUUCUAAAAAUCGCCUAUUCACCCCCUCUAGUCGAUAUAACUCACUUUCAUGAACAACCUAAGAGAUAAAGCUACUUUGGCCUAAAACCAGCCACACGUGUGGAUCCGACGACUCCCCUCAUCACCGAUGACCGAGAUCGUCGGCGAAGGGAAGCCAUCGGAAAAACUCAUAGACGACUAGGCGCUGGCAAGAUCAAGAGGAGGAAAGAAUGGUGCGCGAUUGUAUGCACGUGGAUGGAGGGAGUAUGCAGAGUAAAAAAGAAACGAAGGAGGUACACCACGUAGCUGAUGAGCAUGUUAGGUAAUGCUCGUGUUUUCUACCUUCUCUCCACACGAUAAAUAGUAGGAGAUCAUCGCUAGUUUUGCGUUUGAUAUGCCGUCACAUGAUGUACCACUCUCAAAAUAGGCUUUCGCCCUGCUAUAUAUAUAGCAACCACAUGAUACAACAUGAAAACCACUGCUGGGGCAAACAGCACAUCCACGCCCAAAAGAAAAGAAAGAGAAAACAAUGCCAACACAGACAACUUAACGAAAACAAUAAUGACCCGCAACCAUUGCGUCUCCUCCGGAAUACUCCCUCCAUGAUCCAAGCACCUUGAUCCAUCGCGUACCAAGUAGCACCUCCAAGAAGGAUAAUGGCGACGACGACACUGCUGCCCGGACAUGUCCUAGGGUUUCCCCUGGUAUGCUCCGUGGCGCGGGGAGGAGGAACACCCGAAACCCUUCAGAAGGAAGGGUGACACUCUCAAGCAUCACCGUGCCGGUGUCAAAAGACAAGGAUUUCUCCCGACCCCCAAACCACCACCUCCCGGACCAUCACACACGCUCCACCAAGCAUGCCAUCCACCAACAAACGCCACAACGGUCUUGCAAUCACCAUCAUCAUCUCACCAUGGCCAACGUAGCAAGGCCGGUCAGUCUCAGGCGAACCACCCGAAGAAAAGAUCUGACAGGAGGACAACCACGCAGGAGGGGACCACCCGUCCAAGACAGUCGUCAUCCGGACACGUCGAUGAUAACACACCGAACCAUUGGAACCGGAGGGCGGUAACAAUGCAGCCACCCCAAGGACGUCCUCUACCACCACCGGCGGGUGCCGACCGAACAUAGUAGUCAGGACACACCAGGCCAGAUAGGCCCGACCGAGCGUCGGCCAAGUCCCAUGGAUCGUAAAAUCCCCGCCGCCGUGCUGCUGCACGUAGGCCGCCACCGCCGCUACCCUCAUGCAGCCCAAAAGCUCAGUCGGGCAUGGACAAGCCGGUGAAACUCCCAUCAUCACGUUGUUGUGGUGUAGCGUCAACGCUAUCAUCCCCCGGGCCCGAUCUUGGCAUGUAGGGCCGGAGCGCCGCCGCCACCGCCUAGCCACUGAUGUCUACUACGCAACCUUCUCCUUGUAGACGUUGUUGGGCCUCCAAGUGCGGAGGUUUGUAGGACAGUAGCAAUUUUCCCUCAAGUGGGUGACCUAAGGUUUAUCAAUCCGCGGGAGGCGUAGGAUGAAGAUGGUCUCUCUCAAGCAACCCUGCAACCAAAUAACAAAGAGUCUCUUGUGUCCUCAACACACCCAAUACAAUGGUAAGUUGUAUAGGUGCACUAGUUCGGCGAAGAGAUGGUGAUACAAGUGCAAAAAGGAUGGUAGAUAUAGGUUUCUGUAAUCUGAAAUUACAAAAACAGCAAGGUAACUAGUAACAAAAGUGAGCACGAACGGUAUUGCAAUGCGUGGAAACAAGACCUAGGGUUCAUACUUUCACUAGUGAAGUUCUCUCAACAAUGAUAACAUAAUUGGAUCAUAUAACUAGCCCUCAACAUGCAACAAAGCGUCACUAAUAGCGGAGAACAAACGAAGAGAUUAUUGUCAGGUACGAAACCACCACAAAGUUAUUCUUUCUGAUCAAUCUAUUCAAGAGUCCGUAGUAAAAUAACACGAAGCUAUUCUUUCCAUUCGAUCCAUCAUAGAGUUCGUACUAGAAUAACACCUUAAGAUACAUAUCAACCAAGACCCUAAUGUCACCUAGAUUCUCCAUUGUCACCUCAAGUAUCCGUGGGCAUGAUUAUACGAUAUGCAUCACACAAUCUCAGAAUCAUCUAUUCAACCAACACAUAGAACUUCAAAGAGUGCACCGAAGUUUCUACCGGAGAGUCAAAAUGUGUGCCAACCCAUAUGCAUAGGUUCCCNNNNNNNNNNNNNNNNNNNNNNNNNNNNNNNNNNNNNNNNNNNNNNNNNNNNNNNNNNNNNNNNNNNNNNNNNNNNNNNNNNNNNNNNNNNNNNNNNNNNNNNNNNNNNNNNNNNNNNNNNNNNNNNNNNNNNNNNNNNNNNNNNNNNNNNNNNNNNNNNNNNNNNNNNNNUCACCAAAACAUACAUCGAGUACUCACAUGAGUAUCCAAAUGUGUGCCAACCCAUAUGCAUAGGUUCCCAAUGUCACAAACCCGCAAGUUGAUCACCACAGAUAGACACGUGCAAGACAUACAUCAAGUGUUCUCAAAGACUCAAUCCGAUAAGAUAACUUCAAAGGGGAAAAUCAAUUCAUUACAAGAAGGGAGAGGGGGAAGAACAUCAUAAGAUCCAACUAUAGUAGCAAAGCCCGCGGUACAUCGAGAUCAAGACAUCUCAAGAACACGAGAGAGAGAGAUCAAACACAUAGCUACUGGUACAUACCCUCAGCCCCGAGGGAUAACUACUCCGUCCUCGUCAUGGAGAUCGUCGGGGUGAUGAAGAUGGCCACCGGAGAUGGAUUCCUUCUCCGGCAGGGUGCCGGAACGGGCUCCAGAUUGGUUUUUGGUGGCUACAGAGGCUUGCGGCGACGGAACUCCCGAUCUAGGUUUCUUUUUGGGGGUUUCUGAAUUUAUAGGAAUUUAUGGUGGUGGAAUUACGGCGGUUGGGCCCACGAGGAGGUCACAAGCCUGGUAGGUGCGGCCUAGGGGCGGGGUCGCGCCUCCCGGGCUUGUGACUCCCUCGUGGCUCUUCUGGCCUUCUUCCAAACCUUCGGGGGGUCUCUUUUGGUCCAAAACAAAUCAUCAUAAAGUUUUAUUCCAUUUGGACUCCGUCUGAAAAAGGGUCAAAAACACGGAAAAACAGAAACUAACACUUGGCAUUGAGUUAAUAGGUUAGUCCCAAAAAAUAUAUAAAAUAUCAUAUUCAUGCAUAUAAAACAUNNNNNNNNNNNNNNNNNNNNNNNNNNNNNNNNNNNNNNNNNNNNNNNNNNNNNNNNNNNNNNNNNNNNNNNNNNNNNNNNNNNNNNNNNNNNNNNNNNNNNNNNNNNNNNNNNNNNNNNNNNNNNNNNNNNNNNNNNNNNNNNNNNNNNNNNNNNNNNNNNNNNNNNNNNNNNNNNNNNNNNNNNNNNNNNNNNNNNNNNNNNNNNNNNNNNNNNNNNNNNNNNNNNNNNNNNNNNNNNNNNNNNNNNNNNNNNNNNNNNNNNNNNNNNNNNNNNNNNNNNNNNNNNNNNNNNNNNNNNNNNNNNNNNNNNNNNNNNNNNNNNNNNNNNNNNNNNNNNNNNNNNNNNNNNNNNNNNNNNNNNNNNNNNNNNNNNNNNNNNNNNNNNNNNNNNNNNNNNNNNNNNNNNNNNNNNNNNNNNNNNNNNNNNNNNNNNNNNNNNNNNNNNNNNNNNNNNNNNNNNNNNNNNNNNNNNNNNNNNNNNNNNNNNNNNNNNNNNNNNNNNNNNNNNNNNNNNNNNNNNNNNNNNNNNNNNNNNNNNNNNNNNNNNNNNNNNNNNNNNNNNNNNNNNNNNNNNNNNNNNNNNNNNNNNNNNNNNNNNNNNNNNNNNNNNNNNNNNNNNNNNNNNNNNNNNNNNNNNNNNNNNNNNNNNNNNNNNNNNNNNNNNNNNNNNNNNNNNNNNNNNNNNNNNNNNNNNNNNNNNNNNNNNNNNNNNNNNNNNNNNNNNNNNNNNNNNNNNNNNNNNNNNNNNNNNNNNNNNNNNNNNNNNNNNNNNNNNNNNNNNNNNNNNNNNNNNNNNNNNNNNNNNNNNNNNNNNNNNNNNNNNNNNNNNNNNNNNNNNNNNNNNNNNNNNNNNNNNNNNNNNNNNNNNNNNNNNNNNNNNNNNNNNNNNNNNNNNNNNNNNNCUCAGUUUGAGAACCAAGGUAUCAAUCCAGUAGGAGUAUCAAGAUGAGGCACCAAUGUACCUGCGCAAAAACAAACAAACUUGCACCCAACGCUAUAAAGGGGUUGUCAAUCCCUUCACGAUUAUUUGCAAGGUGAGAUCUGAAGGUGGAAAGUGCAACAAAGUAAAAGUGUAGAUCUGAAAAUAUGAUGUAAAGUAGACCCGGGGGCCAUAGUGUUCACUAAAGGCUUCUCUCAUGAAAGCAAGUAUUACGGUGGGUGAACGAAUUACUGUCGAGCAAUUGAUAGAAUCAUGCAAAGUCAUGAUGAUAUCUAAGGCAAUGAUCAUACACAUGGGCAUCAUGUCUGAGACAAGUAGACCGAUACUGUAUGCAUCUACUACUAUUACUCCACACAUCGACCGCUAUCCAACAUGCAUCUNNNNNNNNNNNNNNNNNNNNNNNNNNNNNNNNNNNNNNNNNNNNNNNNNNNNNNNNNNNNNNNNNNNNNNNNNNNNNNNNNNNNNNNNNNNNNNNNNNNNNNNNNNNNNNNNNNNNNNNNNNNNNNNNNNNNNNNNNNNNNNNNNNNNNNNNNNNNNNNNNNNNNNNNNNNNNNNNNNNNNNNNNNNNNNNNNNNNNNNNGUAGAGGGAUAGAUUCACGCAAUAUGAUAUAAACCCCAUCUUUUUACCCUUGAUGGCAACAACAUGAUGUGUGCCUCGCUACCCCUUCUGUCACUAGGUGAGGACACCACACGGUAUGAACCCAAAACCAAGCACUUCUCCCAUUGCAAGAAUUAUAGAUCAAGUUGGCCAAACGAAACCCACAACUCGAAGAGAAUUACAAGGAUACGAAAUCAUGCAUAUAAGAGAUUAGAGGAGACUCAAAUAAUAUUCAUAGAUAAUCUGAUCAUAAAUCCACAAUUCAUCGGAUCUCGACAAACGCACCGCAAAAGAAGAUUACAUCGGAUAGAUCUGCAUGAAGAUCAUGGAGAACUUUGUAUUGAAGAUCCAAGAGAGAGAAGAAGCCAUCUAGCUACUAGCUAUGGACCCGAAGGUUUGUGGUGAACUACCCACGCAUCAUCGGAGAGGCAAUGAUGUUGAUGAAGAAGCCCUCCGUGUCCGAAUCCACCCUCCGGCAGUGCACCAGAACGGUCCCCAGAUGGGAUCUUGCGGAGACAGAAGCUUGCGGCGGCGGAAAAGUAUUUUCAUGGCUCUCUCUCGUGGUUUUGGAUUUUUAGAGAAUUUAUAGGUGGAAGAAGUAGGGCAAAUGAGCCACGGGAGGCCACAAGCCUUCUAGGCGCCCCCCCAGGUCGCGGCUAGGGGGCUUGUGACAUCCCCCCAAGGUCCUUUGCCUUGGUUCUCAAGUCCCGUGUGUAUCUUGUGUUAUGGAAAAAAUCAUUCUGCAGGUUUUACUCCGUUUGGACUUCGUUUAAUAUUCUUCUCUGAAAAAGGUCAAAAACACAAAAACAACAGAAACUGGCACUUAGCACUGAGUUAGUAGGUUAGUCCCAAAAAAUAUAUAAAAUAGCAUAUUCAUGCAUACAAAACAUCCAAAGUUGACAAGAUAAUAGCAUGGAACCAUCAAAAAUUAUAGAUACGUUGGAGACGUACCAAGCAUCCCCAAGCUUAACUCAUGCUCGUCCUCGAGUAGGGAAGUGAUAAAGACUGGAUUUUUGAUGCGGAAUGCUACCUAACAUAUUUGUCCUUUGUAACUUAUUUCUUCUGGCAUGAAUGUUCAGAUCCGUAAGAUUCAAAACAAUAGUUUACUAUUGACAUGAAAACAAUAAUACUUCAAGCAUACUAGCAAAGUGACAAUGAACUUUUGAAGUAACAAGGCCAAAGAAAGUUAUCCCUACAAAAUCAUAUAGUCUGGCUAUGCUCCAUCAUCCCCACACAACGAAUUUAAAUCAUGCACAAUCCCGUAUUGGCCAAGUAAUUGUUUUCGACUCUUACUUUCUCAAACUUUUUCAACUCUCACGCAAUACAUGAGUGUGAGGCAUGGAUAUAGCACUAUAGGUGGAAUAGAGUGUAGUGGAGGUUGUGAGGCAAAAAGGAGGAGAUGGUCACAUUGACUUGGCGUAUUAAUGGGCUAUGGAGAUGCCCAUCAAUAGAUAUCAAUGUGAAUGAGUAGGGAUUACCAUGCAACGGAUGCACUUAGAGCUAUAAGUGUGUGAAAGCUCAAAAGGAGAACUAGUGGGUGUGCACCCAACUUGCUUGCUCACGAAGACCUAGGGCAAUUUUGAGGAAGCCCGUCAUUGGAAUAUACAAGCCAAGUUAUAUAAUGAAAAUUCCCACUAGUAUAUGGAAGUGUCAAAACAAGAGACUCUCUAUCAUGAAGAACAUGGUGCUAUUUUGAAGCACAAGUAUGGCAAAAGAUAGUAGCAUUGUCCCUUCUCUCUUUUUCUCUUUUUUUGUUUGGGCUCUUUGGCCUCUUUUCAUUUUUUUGGUGGGCAUCUUUGGCCUUUUUUUUAUUUCCUCACAUGGGACAAUGCUCUAAUAAUGAUGAUCAUCACACUUUUAUUUACUCACAACUCAAUACUUAGAACAAUGAUGACUCUAUAGGAAAUUCCUCCAACAGUGUACCGGGAUGUGCAACGAUCUAGCUUAGCGUAUGAUGUUGAAACAUCUCGCUAGCUAUCUUACGAUCAUGCAAUGCCAAUAUGAAAGUGACAGCACAAGUCAUGAGACGGAACGAUGGGAGUUGUCUGGCAAUAUAUCUCGGAAUGGCUAUGAAAAUGCCAUAAUAGGUAGGUAUAGUGUCUGUUUUGAGAAAGGUAUAUGGUGGGUUUGUGCACCGACGAAAGUUGCGCGACACUAGAGAGGCUAGCAAUGGUGGAAGGUGAAAGUGCAUCUAUACCAUGGACUCACAUUAGUCAUGAAGAACUCAAAUACUUAUUGCGAAAGUUUUAUUAGUAAUCGAAACAAAGUGCUAAACUCACACUCCUAGGGGAAGGGUUGGUAGGUGUUAGCCAUCGCGCGAUCCCGACCGCCACACAAACGAUGACAAUCAAUAAAUCAACUAUGCUCCGACUUCCUAACAUAGCGGUUCACCAUACGUGCAUGCUAUGGGAAUCACUAACUUCAACACAGGUAUUUCUAGAUUCACAACACCCUACUAACAUAACUCUAAUAUUACCAAAUCCAAAUCUCAAAAUAAUUUUUAGGAAUCAAACUUCUCUUAGUAAUCAAUGCACUUGAAUAUGGAGGUUUUUAUUAUAUCCUCUUUGGAUGCCUAUCAUCUUUAGGACUACUUUCAUAACACAUGCCAAUUACCAAGUUACUUAGAGAGAGCACUCUCAAAAAGAUAUAAGUGAAGAUCGAGAGUUUUUAUUUCGACAAAAUAUGAUACCGCUGUGCUCUAAAAAGAUCUAAGUGAAGCACUAGAGCAAAGUUAUCUAGCUCAAAAGAUAUAAGCGAAGCUCAAUGAGUAUUCUAGCAAAUUCACGAUGAGUGCAUGUCCCUCUCAAAAAGGUGUGCAGCAAGGAUGAUUGCGACAAAACAAAAAGAAAAGACUCUUAUAAUACACGACGCUCCAAGCAAAACACAUAUCAUGUGGUGAAUAAAAAUAUAGCUCCAAAUAACGUUACCGAUGGAUUGAAGACGAAAGAGGGGAUGCCUUCCCGGGGCAUCCCCAAGCUUAGGCUUUUUGGUGUCCUUUAAUUUGGCUUGGGAUGCCUUGGGCAUCCCCAAGCUUAAGAUCUUUCCACUCUUUAUCCCAUUGUCCAUGAGAACAUCACCCAAAACUUGAAAACUUCACAACACAAAACUUAAACAGAAACUCGUGAUAUCAUUAGCAUAAGAAAACAAACUACCAACUCUUUAGGUACUGUAGUAAACUUGAUUUCUAUUUAGAUUGAUGUUAGAUUACUGUAUUCUCACUUUUCCAUGGCUAGUACCCCCCGAUACUAUCCAUAGUUUCAUCAAAAUAAGCAAUGAACACAACAAAAACAAAAUCUGCCAAAAACAGACGAGUUUGUAGCAAUCUGUAUACUUCGUAUACUUCUGGUAUCCCAAAAAUUCUGAAAAGUUAUGACAGUUAUGGCAAUUUGCAUAUAAACCAGCAGAAAAAAGAAUCAACUCAAAAGCUCUUUCUGGAUAGGAACUAAAAAUAAUUUUGUCAGAACAAAGUUUCUGUCUUUUUCAGCAUGAUCAAACAACCAUCACCAAAACUAAUCAUAAAGGUUUUACUUGGCACAAACACAAAAAGAAACACAAAAAACACAAUCAUAACAGAAUUAUGAUGGUGUGCACACAAAAAAACAGAAAGCAAAAAGCAAAGAUAAAUUCAUUGGGUUGCCUCCCAACAAGCGCUAUUGUUUAACGCCCUUAGCUAGGCAUAAGGCGAUAGAAUCAAGUAUCGUCGUUUUUGGUGCUCAAACCAUAAGUAGGGUGAACACUCAACAUUUUAAGAUCUUCAUCUCUCUUACUAGAUGGUUCACCACUGUUUUUAGGAACAAAAACAAACUUGGUGGCCUUAUUGUGGGCAAAAUUUGGAGUGUUCUCAAUAGCGGGAAAAGCGGAACCCAAGUUGGUUAUAACAUCCUCUAGUUUGCCAAUUCUAGCGGAAUCAUGACCUAAUUUUUUGUUAAUUGUGGGUUCCCUCUCCUUUAAAUUUUUCAAAGUCAUUCCCACCUUGGAUCCAUACUGAGUAAUUUGAUUGUGGAUCUUUUUAUCCAAAUUUUCAAUGAGUUCAAUUGUAGCAACUUUAUUUUCAAUGAUAUCCAGCCUACGCAUCACAUGUUCCAAAGUUAAGGUAGUUCCAUUAACCAUGAGUGGGGGUGAUCCUACCAAAUUUAUUAAGGCACCGUAAGAAUCAACGGUAUGGCUACCCAAGAAAUUUCCGCCUACGAUUGUGUCAAGAACAUACCUAUUCCAAGGGGAAAUAGCCACAUACAAGUUGCGAAGCAGAACGGUAGUAGAUUGCUUACGAGUAGAUCUAUUGUGAGCAUUGCAAAUCCUAUACCAAGCAUCCUUUAAGUUUUAUCCCUCAUUUUGUUUUAAAUUAAGAACUUCGCUCUCGGGAGUAUCAUUUAAAGCGAUAGGACUAGCCAUAAGGAUAGGUAGACUAUCCCACACAAGCAAAUAGAAAGCAAGCGAAAGAAAAGGGCGAACGAAAAAGGCAAAUAUUUUUGUAAAUUUUGUUUUUUCAGAAGUGGGGGAGAGGAAAACGAGAGGCAAAAGGCAAAUAAUGUAAAUGCAAGAGAUGAGUUUGCGAUAGUUACUUGGGUAUGCUUCACUUUGAAUACUCCCCGGCAACGGCGCCAGAAAUUGGCACGUUGACGGGAGACUAUUCUUGACUUGAUCCUCCCCGGCAACGGCGCCAGAAAUUCUUCUUGCUACCUCUUGAGCUUGCGUUGGUUUUUCCCUUGAAGAGGAAAGGGUGAUGCAGCACAGUAGUAGUAAGUAUUUCUCUCAGUUUGAGAACCAANACAAGUAGACCGAUACUGUCUGCAUCUACUACUAUUACUCCACACAUCGACCGCUAUCCAGCAUGCAUCUAGUGUAUUAAGUUCAUAACAAAUGGAGUAACGCCUUAAGCAAGAUGACAUGAUGUAGAGGGAUAGAUUCAUACAAUAUGAUAUAACCCCCACCUUUUUACCCUUGAUGGCAACAACACGAUGCGUGCCUCGCUACCCCUUCUGUCACUAGGUGAGGACACGGCACGGUAUGAACCCAAAACCAAGCACUUCUCCCAUUGCAAGAAUUAUAGAUCAAGUUGGCCAAACGAAACCCACAACUCAAAGAGAAUUACAAGGAUACAAAAUCAUGCAUAUAAGAGAUCAGAGGAGACUCACCGCACGGUAUGAACCCAAAACCAAGCACUUCUCCCAUUGCAAGAAUUAUAGAUCAAGUUGGCCAAACGAAACCCACAACUCGAAGAGAAUUACAAGGAUACGAAAUCAUGCAUAUAAGAGAUUAGAGGAGACUCAAAUAAUAUUCAUAGAUAAUCUGAUCAUAAAUCCACAAUUCAUCGGAUCUCGACAAACGCACCGCAAAAGAAGAUUACAUCGGAUAGAUCUGCAUGAAGAUCAUGGAGAACUUUGUAUUGAAGAUCCAAGAGAGAGAAGAAGCCAUCUAGCUACUAGCUAUGGACCCAAAGGUUUGUGGUGAACUACUCACGCAUCAUCGGAGAGGCAAUGGUGUUGAUGAAGAAGCCCUCAAUGUCCAAAUCCCCCUUCGACAGGGCACCAGAAUGGUCCCCAGAUGGGAUCUUGCGGAGACAGAAGCUUGCGACGGCAGAAACGUAUUUUCGUGGCUCCCUCUGGUGGUUUUGGAUUUUUGGAGAAUUUAUAGGCGGAAGAAGUAGGGCAAAGGAGCCACGGGGGGCCCACAAGCCUGCUAGGCGCCCCCCCGAGGCCGCGGCUAGGGGGCUUGUGACCUCCCCCGAGGUCCUUUGCCUUGGUUCUCAAGUCCCUUGCGUAUAUUCUGUUAUGGAAAAAAAUCAUUCCGCAAGUUUUAUUCCGUUUGGACUCCGUUUUAUAUUCUUCUCUGAAAAAGGUCAAAAACACGGAAAAAACAGAAACUGACACCUGGCACUGAGUUAAUAGGUUAGUCCCAAAAAAGAUAUAAAAUAGCAUAUUCAUGCAUACAGAACAUCCAAAGUUGACAAGAUAAUAUCAUGGAACCAUAAAAAAUUAUAGAUACGUUGGAGACAUAUUAGGGAAGUAUACCGAUUUUUUACUGUAGGUUCUUUUUAGUGUUGGUUUAUUUAGUGUACGUAGGUUUAUGUUUGUAUAAAUUUGUUCGUUGCGAAUAAUGACAAGCUCGCAAUGUCUGACAGGUGAAAAUGUCUGAAUCUAUAAAUUUGACUGUUUAUUACGGUCCUGGUAAUGUUCUGUAUAAUGAGUUGGGGGUUGAUCUUAGCGAGUUUAAAAAAGGCAUGCUGACACUUUCAGACCCGGACAAACUGGACAUUAGGUACUUUAAGCACUGGUUGACUACUAGUUUUGGGCUGGAUCCUGAAGUCUGCUCCGUCAGUAUUCAUGCAUUAUGGACCAAAUCCUGUAAAAAUGUCAAGUGGGAGUUGAUGCCGAUAGAUAGGAGCCAACAUUGGUUGUCCCUAUUAAGCCGUUCCAGAGACCGAAGAAUCCACCCAUAUGUCCUAGUGCAACCAGUGGCGAAGGAAGAGAAUUUCGUACAAGUCAACGUGGGGUAUGAACCAGGACAGGGUAGUCAUGUAUCCGGGUCAUAGCCACCAGAUGUGGAUGCUAGCCAAGCCGGGAAAGAGUCAUAUUAUGUGUCACACAAUGUUAGUAUUGGUCAUGAGACUGGGAAGAGUAUUCAGUCGAUACUAUUAGCUGGCUCUAGUGUUGCUGAUGGGGAUGAGGAAGGCGAUGAAAUGCAGAGGGUGAUGGAGGAAGAGAACGAGGAUGGGUUUGCGGAGGAUCUGGAUUCUGAAAAUUCUAAGGAUGAAGUGGAGGUAACGAUUCCUUCCGGAUGGGAUAAGGACAUAGCCGAUGGCAUUACUAUCAACAAUGGCCAUGAGACUCCAUGGCAAUAUAAUUUGAACCAAGUCUAGAUCGGGGCUAUGUUUGACACAAAGAAAAAAUUGAAGCAUGCGGUGAUAAGGUGGGCUAUGUCUACGCAGAGGUUUUUCCUGACACACAUAUCAACUCCAACAAAAUAUACCGUGAAUUGUGUUGAAACAGGUUGUCAUGCGAAGGUGCACGGGCACGUGACAAAGUAUAACAUCCACUGGGUUGUCACCAAUGUGGUCCCACAUAAUUGUGUGAGUAAAAAUCUGUUGGUUCGUCAUCCAAACCUGAGUUCAACUCUCAUAGUGCAACUCAUGUAUACUGAGAUAGUUGAGAAGAAAGGUAUGGAAGCAAAACAUAUCCAGAAAGCAGUGAAGGUCAGAUAGAAUUAUGACAUUCCAUAUGGGAAGGCUUGGAGGGCUAAGCAGAAGGCUAUAGAGGAAAGGUUUGGGACGUUCUUCGACUCAUAUGAUAAUGUUGUCUGUCUCCUUGACAUACUGAAGGAGAGGAAUCCCAUCACUUAUGUUAACAUACAACACACGAGGUUGGAGAUUAUACCAGAUUACAAGGCGUUGAAAUGAGUAUUAUUCUCUUUCGGUUUGUGCAUCGAAGCUUCCCAGCAUUGUCCUCCUAUGAUGUUUGUGGAUGGUACAUUCUUGACUGGUCAGUACAAAGGGCAAAUCCCUACUGCUAUUGGUGUGGAUGGGAACAACCAAAUCAUCCCACUAGCCAUGGCAUUUGUGGAGGGUGUGAACUUUCUGAGCUGGGUAUGGUUCUUCUGGCAAGUUAAAAUUGCGAUCGUGAAGGAUCGACCAAACGUGUGUGUCAUUCAUGACAGACAUCCUGGUAUAUUAAAGGCCGUGAAGACACUAAGUAAUCCAACAGCUGACGAGCCAACACCUUGGAAGGACUUGCAAAGCCGGUGGUGCAUGCGCCAUCUGGGUGCAAUUUUUUUCUCAUAGUUCGAGAACAAACGGUUGAUGAACUUGUUCAAAAAGUUAUGCAAGCAGAACCAGCAGCACAAACACGAAUUUAUUUGGUCAAAACUAGAUGAGUUUACUAAGAAGCAGGUCGUUGCUAGGAAGAAAAUGGAAAAAUACCAGGUUAAAUUAACAACACUCAUCGCGGAGCUAGAGGAGCCAGUAGGUCUUUGUGACUUGCCAGCAAUUUACCCUCCUAAUACGAAGAGAAAGAAGGGCAGGGCAAUAAAUAAUUUUUCUGAGUGGAUAGAGAAAGAGCCUCCAGUGAAUUGGUCUUUGCUGCAUGACACCCAUGGAGUGAGGUAUGGCCACAUGACAACCAAUCUUGCAGAGGUGUAUAACUUUGUACUCAGAGGGCAUAUUAUAGCAUUGCCACUAACAACUAUUGUGGAGGGUGUAUUCCAGAGGACUUUGAGAUAUUUCAGAGAAAGGCAUGAGUUAGCAAAGAAUCAUAUUGCAGUUAAUCAGAACACAACUUAUUGUAGCCGUGUCAUGCAGUACAUGUAUGAGAAGAUAAAGAAAGCAAAAAAGCACACUGUCACGGUCAUAGGUAAUUUGGAAAGGAGGUAUGAGGUUCAGCUUCCUACUGAUGGUUUUGGUUCUGCAAAUGAAGUGAAGACGCAUGAGGUUAAAUUUGGAACGAAAAUUUAUCCAACUUGCGAGUGUACAUGCAACAAACCGCAGUUGUUGCACCUGCCUUGCUCACAUGUGUUGGCUGCCUGUGGCCAGAUUGAGUUAGACAAUAUCUCCUUCGUGUCUCCGUACUAUUCAAAAGAGGCAGUAUUCAUUGCAUGGACAAGUGAGAUGACAGGGUUUAGAGUCGUCGGCAAUUUCAACAAGGUUAACGAUGGUGAGAGAGUAUACAUCCCGGAUCCUGGACUUCGAUGAACUAGCAGGGGAGGACGUAAGGUAAAGCGCAUCCGAAACGAUAUGGACCAAUCUGAAGCUGGUGGAGCAACCAGACAAUGUUUGCUCUGUGCGGCUUAUGGACAUAGGAUGAAAUAUUGCCCUGACCUGAACAAAGACACUGCUUCCACAUCGACGAUUGCGACAUCAGUAGCAAGAGGUGGUUGUGGCAAUCGUGGUGGACGUGGCAGUCGAGGCCGAAGGGGUGGAUGAGGAAUAAAUAACUCAGAAGCUACAUAAUGUGUCGGUCUACGUUUUAAUUUGUAAUAUGUCUGCACUAUGUUUUAAUGUGUACUAUGUCGGACUAUGUUUGCACUAUGUUUUAAUUUGUAAUAUGUGUGCACUAUGUUUUAAUUUGUAAUAUGUUUGCACUAUGUCUACAUGAGCUUAGUGAAAACACAUAAUUACUGAUACUAGUGGAUAAUUCUGCUGGAUAAUUCAAUACAAAUUCUAGUACUGGAUAGUUCAACUACUGGAUAGUUCGAUACUACUGGAUAAUUCAAUACAAAUUCUAAUACUGGAUAGUUCAACUAUUGGAUAGUUCAAUCCAAAUUCAACCAUUAUAUACUUAAAAUUCAUCACAGAUCUCCUUCAACUUCUUCACAUUGUCCUUAUAGCCAUGGUUCCGUUUCAUCAUAUCAGAAUUGAUGUGCUCCAGCUUUUUCUUCUCUUUCUUCAUUUGGUCUCUCUCUAGCACAAGCUGGUCCCUCUCCUUCUCUGCCUUCGCCCUGAGUACCUGAUGUGGAUUGGUGGAAGAAUAGUCUGCCAACUUCUUCUUCUCAAUCUCCUCUUUUAGAUCACUGAUAGCCAACCUAGCACUGCCAAGCUGACUAAUAGCCUCCUCCUUGUCAGCCACCAUUUUUGUAAAAUCAAGUUUGAAAAAUCGAAGCUCUUCCUCCAUCCUCCUCUUUUCUCCAAUUAUUUUGAAAUUUUCUUCACCCAGCUUCAGUUUAUCUCUGAUUCUGUCCUCGUUUUCUUUGUCAUGCAUGCUCCGCAAUUGACCUAUGCAAGAAUGCAUAGCAACUGACCACUCAGGGUCUAUCCAUUCCAGAUAGAAGCAUUUUUCUUCUGCCUAAAAUUCAAAACAAUUUCAGUGAUUAACAUGCAUGAAAUUGAGCGGAGCAGAAAACUAACUAAGAUUAACUAAUUACAGUGCAACAUACCUUCUCCUUUGCACAAGCAAGAAAACAUCGUCCAGUAUCAGUAUAUUGAAAUGCAACUUGCCUGAGGCAAGGCUCUAGAUGCAUAUAACGAAAAAAUAGUUCAUGAGCAAUGCCACUCCAUUCAUGGCAUGUGAUAGUCCUAGGAAGCUAAAAACAGAAGACACCGAACUGUUAUGAAAUCCCGAAAUGAAGAACCGUAAACCUACUCGUAAAUGCUGGAAACCCAAAAUUAACGUACCUCGCUAGUCACACUAUCGUCAUCCCAAGAAGAGCUUGAUCCCUCGCUCCAAGAAACCAUGGCAGAUUAAUUGGCAGACCUAAAUCUACUGGAGAACCUAAAUAUAUUUAAACAAGUUAACUAGCAGACUUAAAUAUAUCUAUAUUGAGAACCUAAAAAUAUUUAAACAACUUAACUCGCAGACUUAGAUAUAUAUACCGGAGAACCUAAAAUAUAUCCAAAUCUACUGGACAACCUAAAAAUAUUUAAACGACUUAACUAAGUCACCUAAAUAUAUCCAAAUCUACCGAAGCAUACGAAAACGAUUGUUGAAUUUAUCCUUGAAGCGUGCGAAGAAACAACGAACGACGAACCACCACCUUUACCCACACCUCCACCUCUACCUACACCACCACCACCACCACCACCACUUGUGUCCCCUUCUUCACUCCUCUUCACCUUCUUCUUCCUCUCCACCACACCAUCUCCUCACCAUCCACACCUCCACCACCCCACCAUCAUGGCACAAAAUGAGACCGUAGGCCGGUGGAGAUCGGUAGGAUGUAUUGAUUCAACGGAUUGAAUAGGAAAAUGGGCGGAGGAUGGAGGAGAUCGGAGGGGGGGCGAAAUGAGGGAAGAAAAACGAGAGAGAGAAGAGGAACUAGGAAAUGAGGAGGAAGAAGGCUCGGCAGGGGUUAUCCAGGGGUUUUUGGCCUCCGGAGGCCGAUGGGCCCUCUUCGGCCACCCCGAGGCCGACAGGUGGCUCUUCGGCCACCCGCAGGUCGACAGGCCCACUUCGGCCUCCCACAGGCCGACAGGUCCCCCGUCGGCCCACCAGAGACUGACGGGGUGCUAGUUUUGACAUUUUAAAAAAUGCACAUAUGCUUUUCCAAUUUAUUAUAAAAUAAGUAGUAGUUUUGAAAAACAAAUCCUUUUCUUGGCGCCGCUUUUAAGCUUUUUUCCCAUGAUUGAAGCUUUUCUUGACAACGAUGGCGAGCGGCAACGACACGAGAUGCAAGAACGACGACCAACAAUGAGGACGGCCGCCUAGGACGACGACCAGCAACGAGGACGGCCGACGAGGGGUGGCGGCGGGAGAAGGACCGCUCGACCGGGAGGGCGGGGGCCGGGGGAGCUCCGCUGCAUGUUGGACGAAGACGGCUGACGAGGGGUGACGACGUGAGAAGGACUGCUCGACCGGGAGGACGGGCGCCGGGGGAGCUCCGCUGCAUGUUGGACGAAGACAGCCGACGAGGGGUGGCGACGUGAGAAGGACCGCUCGACCGGGAGGGCGGGCGCCGGGGGAGCUCCACUGCAUGUUGGACAAAGACGGCCGACGAGAGGCUCGCGUUCGUCGAUUGAAGGUUAUGGGCGAGAAAGGAGUCCAACGGCCAAGGUGACCAGAUCCGACGCACAGGGUGCGACCGGCCCAGAUCACUCCCCAUCAAAUAACGCAUCUUGACUGUUUGUCACAUCUGCAAGAUGAUUGGGUCACUCCGCGGGUCAGCUCAAUAUAAUCCCAACCAAGCAACGGGCCACGCGAACACGAAAGGAUCUCCCCCUUUCCAGAAAAGAGAAGGGGCAAGAAAAACAUAGAAAUGGAGGUGGUGGUGGCCUCCGAAAGGGUGUGAAACGAGCGCAGAGCACAAAACGGCGGAGGCCGGAAUGAAGGAAUUGUUUAUCACUCCAUCAAAAUUUUCUUUCGGAAAAGAAAGCAACGAAGCCGUUCGGAAAGCAGCUGUCUGGCUGGGCGAGAGGAGAGGAAGGAUGCGAACGCGCCGUGUGAAACGGGGCGAUCCGGCGACCGGGCACGAGGCCGAAACCAAAAAGGGUGGGGCGCCCGACGCGACCGACCGAUGCGUACGCAACGCCGACGCGACGCGACGCAACGGUGCGGACGCGACGCGGGCCGGGGAUGGAUGGAUGGAUGGAGGGAGAGACGGACGGACGGGCUGCUGCUGAGUGCUGACCGCCGCACCAAACAAAGGUAGAAGAGUGGUAGACGAGGGACGGGCCAAGAGGCAAGAGGAGAGAGGGAUUGGAAGGGGAGACGCAACGCGCACCGCACCGGCGAGACGCCUCCACACGUCUCUCCCUCCCCCCUUCGCCUUCGCCGUCCCGGUCCAGUGACCCCAGCGGCACGCACGCACGCACGCGGCCAGCCCAUCACGCCCCCACCUGCGAAUCCAGGUCGAUGCGGACGGGGUAGGGGAGAGGAGGGGGAAGAGGAGGAGGAUGGAGAUGGAGCGGCGGCGCACGGCGGGGUGGGAGGACCGCAUCUCGGAGCUCCCGGACGCGCUGCGGCUGCAGAUUCUCAGCCUGCUGCCGCUCAAGUGCGCCAUCCGCACCGGCGCGCUCUCCUCGCGGUGGCGGGACCUGUGGGAGCAGCGCUGGCCGGUGCCCUCCUCGCUCCGCCUCCGCGUCCCGCCGGGGCCCUCGGGGGCCCAGGCCCAGCUCGCGGCCGUCGACCGGCGCGGGCGGCGCCGGGUCGACGUCUUCUCCCUCGCCUUCCACGCGGGCCAGCUCACGCAGCCCGACCUCAAGCGCUGCGUCGACUACGCCGCGGCCUGCGGCGUCGAGGACCUGCAGCUCCGCCUCGACGGCGCCGGCGGACGCGGCGCGCGCGGGGGCCAGCGCCGCGCCGGAGCCCUCUCCGUGCACUUCCCCGUCGGGAGCCCGCUCCUGGCACGCCUCUCGGUGCGUGGGCUCCACCUCACCGCCUCCGCCAACGCCAUGGUCGCCACGCUCGAGGUCAUCCACCUCCACUCCGUCUCCAUCACCGACGCCGCGCUGCGCCGGGUCGUCGCUGCCUGCCCCUGCCUCCGCGACCUCGAGCUCCGCUACUGCCGCCACCUACGCCGCAUCGACUUCACCACCGUCGGGGCCGCCAACCUCAGGAGCCUCACCGUCGUCGACUGCUCACGCACCACCGAGCUGCGGGUCCCCGCCGCACGCCGCCUCCGCUCCUUCCGGUUUAGCGGGCCCUUCCUCUGCAGCAACCUUUUCUCCGGCGUCGGAGACUGUUUCCAGGAUCUCUAUCUCUGCUCGGGCGGGCCAGAAGCCGGCUUGCCGUCCACCAAUUUGCCCUCGUCGGUUCCUUACCUUGCCCAUAUCACCACCCUCACCAUAUGCAGCAUUGCCCUCCAGGUUCGUCUCCGCAUCUAUUCCGUUUCCUUCUGAUGCAGCACUUUCCAUUGCCUAUACGCUUAUACUUUCUCUAUCCUGUCUACCUCUAGUAUGUGUCUGCGUCACUAGCCACCAUCGUCAAGGAGACCAACCUCCGCAGAUUGAAGGAGCUUCAGUUGCUCAUGUUCGGGAUGGCCAACUCCAACCUCGCAGACAUUUAUAGCUUCCUCAAGACCUGUUCCUGUCCUCAGUUGGAGAGGUUCUUCGUGCAGGUUGUUGUCUUUAUGCCCAAUUUAUUUGAUCAUAGUCCAUCCAUCCGUUAUAUGUAUGCCUGGAUGUUUUGAUUCUCAAUAUAUGGCACUUAAUAUGACAGCUACCAACAAACACCCAUGAUUCGUUCACGAGGACUUACUUGGAGGUGCCAGAGGAAGAACGGCCUGAAGAGGGUUUAGAAAACCUUCAGCUGGCCAAGAUGACAAACUUCAAGGGGCAUCACAAUGAGAUGCGUCUGCUGGACUUUCUGCUGACGAGGGCCAGUUGCCUUCAGAAAUUAUUCCUGGUUGCUCCUAAAGAGGAUCACCCACAAGGGCUCCGAAAGGUUCAGCCAGAUGUGCUGCCCCUUUCUCGAAAGGCAGAAAUUCUUCAAAGAGCUUCAGCAGGCACCCAGAUAGUUUUCAGCGGGCCUGAUAGUUCUCAGGUCCAGCCACUGCACUCGGAAGUCUUCAUCAGAUUUUAGCUUGAAAUUAGCAACAGCGCUGUAGUUUGAUUGCUCAUUCUAAAUCAUUACAUUUAUAGCUGUUAGGCAAAAGGCAUGCAAUACAAAUCUGGGACACAAACAGAGUAUGGUAGAACAUUUUCGCAAAUUUGUACUUCAGAUAUUCUGGCAAGAUGGUUCAAAUGUGAGGUGUCAAGAUCUGCGUCUUUUCAUCUUCUACCACUACCCCUUUCCUCCCUAAAUUCUCUAUAAUCUACUAUUGCCCUAACAUUAAAGUUAUGUUAUGGCAGAUAGGUUUGUAUAAUCUACAGCUGCCAUGGACUCUAUCUGCUUUUUUCAUAACUGGUCAUAUAAGUAAACUUAUGUUUUGAGCUUAGACAGUACAAAGCAGCAUGGAAAUGUACUCUCUUUAUGAAGGUAUGAAUCAUAUGGUCAUGCAAACUUCAUUACAAUAUAGCCACUCUUUCAGACUAGCGAUUAUGUAUGUGCAACCUUUAGGAGAUGCUGUCUUCUUGUUUGGUGUAUCUUCCUUUAAAUAUAUGUUGUCUCUUCGCUAUGGUAUCUUGUUUACCUCUGGCAUGUUAGAUUCUGAAAGAGUUUUUUUUUAUUACUAACAUUUACAGAAACCACUAUCUUCAUGGCCAUAUUCUGAGUUUAUGUUAGUCUUAAUUGAUGUUAGUAAUAGGUGAACAUAUUUCAGUAUACAGCUUGGCAGGAGUAGUGGCAUAGAAAAUAUUCCAACAUGGAACUUCGUGAACAUCCUUGCUCUCGCUGUAUUCAGUAUGUCGAUUAUUUAUUCAGUUGAGCGGCUGCAAAGGGCAGCAAUGUGGCAGAUCUUCCCUUCAUGGUAAUAUAUAGAAGCUUGGGUGCUAAUUUUAUACCCCCUCUGUCCCAAAAUAAGUGUCUCAAGCUUAGCACAAUUAUGUACUAAAGCUAGUACAAAGUUGAGGUACUUAUUUUGAGACGGAGGGAGUAUGUGCUUGCUCUUUUGAGCUUCGAGAUCAUAGAAUUUUUGUGUGUUUCUAUUUUAUGUGGAGUGGAGCCUGUAGAGGUAAUUAGCUAAUUCUCUUCAUUCUCAUUUUUCAAACCAAUAUAUUUAAUUAUAUUAUCCUAUGUUAUCUUUCUGGUUUUUACGAGACAGAUACUGUAACAGAUAAAAAAUGAUGUUGUCUUUUUGUGGAAGAACUGCAGAUGGUGGGAGCUAGCUCUACCCAAUAGUGGUAACAAUUACUAUCCAGAUAGUCACAUAUUUGAGAAGUGCACUGGUGAUAUCUGUGCAACAAGUCGGUGUCUAGGAAAUGGCUAUCUAGCUGGAAUGCUAAGUGUUGUUGGUGUACUAUCCAUAAAGAUGGUAUACCGGUUAAAAAUGUGACUGGGUUUAUAUUGCUUAUUGCUGGUACCAAGGUGUGUCUUUUAUUGUUUAGAUCAUUCAACUCUCUCAGCUUAUUUUUGGCUUGUCAGUUGUGGGGGCUGGGGGUAUGGCGAUGUGUUCAUGAUGAUGUCCUGAAAUAAUCUAAUAGUGCACCCAAGAAGCUGCUGUAGUUUAUGGGGCUAACCUGGGAGACCUGGGUGGGACAUCUUUGUGAAAAUUCUAAGGUGCUCUUAUAUGAAAGUGGAAAAGUCAUACCACAUCUCAGUGCUUUGGUUUUGCACCUUAUCCUGCAAGCAUGCCACGCGAAACUGUAGAGCCACACAACAUUGGGAUUUGUGGAAGGAUAUGGAUAAUGAUGUGAAGGUAUCCACUGUCUUACAAAGUUAGUACCUAUCUUCUGCACUUCAUGCUUAGAAGCAGUGAUACUUGUGCAUUUGUUUGAUUCUGUUACAUUUACAACUCUCUAGGAUGGGAUCAUGUCUCUUGAAUUUGGCAAAUAUUGAUAUAGAGCUUUGCUUGGGCUUUGUACUGACGUCCAGCUAUCUGCAAUCAGCUGAUCACACUUGCUCUCGUGUGGGUGUCGAAUAAUACGUACUCUUUUUUAGAUUUUAUUCUAAGAAACUGAUUGUUCUCAAGGUUGAUGAAACAAAUAAGUGUAUCCAUGUUCUCAUAAAAAGAGCAGCGGUUAAAAUGCUGCAACAUAUUGGAACAGGAAUUACUUGGGUGUGUUAUUUAGUUGUGGGGACAAAUAUUUGAUGAACUCAAACUGUCUUUGUUUUGUGGUAGUCUAAAGAUGUUGCUAUAUGGUGACCUUGUCAUGCUUAUAUAGCUGUCUGGGAUCUAUGGUAUAACCUUCUUCAACUCUUGUGUUAAAACAUUACUACAUUGCUUUGUGUCGAUGUCUGAGUGCAGCAUACUUGUUGGUUUGCUAUCUAACAUUAUGCAUCAUAUAUCCUUUUGCGGUCAACUGGCUCAUGGAACCGAGUUUAACUUAAUUCUUAUCCAACCUGUAGCAGAAUGGUGAAUUAACAGAUGACAAAUUUGCACCUUAGCCAAAAUCAUGUGUAUUCAUCUGAUCAUACCAAUAGCUAUUAAGCUGUUCAUGGAGGCAGGACUGGAAGUUAACCUCUCUGGCAAUGAUAUCAUUCAUGUUCAUGAGGUAGAUCCUUUGUUCAUGAAUUUACACAUGGACACUCUUGUUUGCAAUACUAGAUAGUAGUUCUUGUGCAUUUUGCUUGCUAACUUUUGUAUGACUUGAUAAAGAAUUCCAUAUUGCAAAGAUGUAGAAUGACCCCACCUGGCUAACAAUCUUUGCACAUAGAUUGAGUCAUAUCUUCGUCAAUUAGAAAACACCACAUACAAAAAUCAAGACCUAUGCAGGGAGCUUAUCACGUAUAUUAUUCUCCCUGUGAUCAUUUCAUAUCAUUUUGUUCAGUAUUUUGCUGCAUAAUAAUCAUAGUAAUAAGCUAUUCAUGUAUGCAACUCUGAACUCAGAGCUUUGUCGUCUCUUCAUAAGAGAAUUACAGUUCUGGGUAGCCGAAGAUAGCGGAUCAAAUUUCACAAGGCAUAAUAUAAUGAGUACAAAUAAUGCAGCGUGGUCUGUAAAGAAUAAUACUUCCAGAAAAAUCGUUUCACACACUAAACUAAAACUUUGAACAUCUUCUUGGCGGUGAUUUUGUUGUAGUUAAGCGUCUUAUAUUAUGGGACGGACGGAGUAAUUGACAUAUGAGAGCAUACGUUGAUACACAUACACUUCUGGAUAUGCACCAUCUGGUGUACUUCUGCAAAAACCCUCCCGUGUCCUUUUGCCAUUUACAGGACGAGUUAAAUGUAUUCAUUUUCCUGUAGUCCAGCCAUUAAUGCCUGAAGAAUGGAUGAUUCACAUUUUGCCGAAUGUACUUCUGUGUACCCAAGUAAGCCUGAGCAGCAAGCAAGAUUGUGAUAAAGAUGUAAGUAGUACUAAUAACUGUGAAACAACUCACCAGGCAUAGCUGGUGAAACAUCUUUACCAAGGCUUUCUUUUUCCUUUUGGGCUGAUGGUAUUGGCACUCCGCACUCUUCUCAGUUUUUUGGAUUUCAUCGUGACAACUUGUAUUGGGUUGUUGUUGGAGUUCCGAUAGGAGGCAUGCAUUCCAACCUUCCAUGCAUAUCGCAUCUUUUCACUACUAUUUUUCUGUACUAAAGUCAUGGGCAACCAAUUCUAUGUCGAAUUUUGAAUGUAGGGGUCUUCACUUUUCAUUUUUAAAUUUUUCUGUCAUCUUCAGUUUUUUUAAAACAAGACUACCUAAUUGAUGUUCUCUUUACUGGCUUGGUGACACAUUUCUUUAGACUAUUCUCUCACAGUUGCCCCUUUAUCUUAUAGGCAUAAUAUUUAGUUUUUCCUUGCUCUUCAAAGCAACCUGGUCCCAAAACAAAACUGGGUUGGAUGUAACUUCCAAAAGCACAUUUUUUUUAAACGAGAACAUUCUUGUUAGUAUUACAAUGUACCUUGGUGGGUGAUUUGUGAAGAACUCUGUGGGAUACCGAUGAAAUCUUUGAAAAUAGGUUAUAUCCAUCAUUUUGUUUUACAUACUUAUCUUUCCUUUGGGCAGCAAGCAAAAUGAAUCUGUAGCAGGUACACUGGACGCUGCGAUUUGAUUUGCUCGUUCAAAGAGAUUAUUCAUGGAAGAAUUACAUCCAAAUUUCAUUGUACAAAGUUUAUUCCUGUUCACCAAAUUAUACUAGCUCUAACCUCAGGUUUUCUUUUAGCUAGAAACAUAGUCCUGCAUCAUGUCCAACUUAUCCAUUCUGAAGCUCCGAAGGAGGGUACAUAAUCACAUCACAUGGGGUGGUGGUGCGCUGUGCGCCACCGGGCGGGCUACCGAUAUUGCUAGAGUAGUACUAACAAAUUUUAAUAGGUGGUGGUACCGCAGUCCCCAGUAGCAUAUGAGCAAGCAUAUGGUCCAUUUUCUGCUCUGUGCUCUCGCACCAACCGAAUGGCGUUGCCCAUCACGUGCGUGAGUGCGUGCUUUCUAGUACUAACCUUGGCAUGAACGCCACCUCUCUUCUCCUCUAACCAACUUCCCAAAUCCCAACCGAAUGUGGAAAACGUGCUGGAUGGCUGCUAUCAUCAUUCACCCUUCGCAUUUCGCAGCUUACAUCUGUUUUGUUUGGGUGUUGCUCAAGCCUUUGCUUGGUGCAGGCACACCAGUUCUUGUUGCCACGAUCGCGACUGCUGCUUGGUCUGGUCGCCUUUGCGCCCGCGCAGGGGGUAAAAGAAUACUGGGCCGUGGAAAGACACCUGCCACGGUGUUUUUGUUGGGCCCGCUGAAGCCGAAACGAGCGAGAGGCUCUGGCUCGGCUGGUCGCCCGUGCGCGGCAGCAGCCGCGUUCUCUGUGCCGUUUGUUUCGUUUAGUACCACCUCGCUCGCGGAGAGGUGAAGAGGCGGUCGAGGCUGCUAUAAGAGGAGGGNNNNNNNNNNNNNNNNNNNNNNNNNNNNNNNNNNNNNNNNNNNNNNNNNNNNNNNNNNNNNNNNNNNNNNNNNNNNNNNNNNNNNNNNNNNNNNNNNNNNNNNNNNNNNNNNNNNCUGCUAUAAGAGGAGGGGGAGGGCAGCAAUGCAACUCAUACCUUUCUCGGCCUUUUGGCUAAGAUCAAGUGUAGUAUCUGUUCUUAUCAGUUUAAUAUCUGAUAUGUGGACUACAUGUCCACAACGAUAUUAAAUUUAUUUUUCGUGGGGGUGGGCCCACCACAGUAGCUUGCUGCUCGGGUCCACAUGCGUCGCCUGGGCGUUGCACUGCUGCCCUGGCCCGGCGCACCCCAACCAAAUCAAUGUUAAAAUCUAAGUUAAAGUCUUGCAGAAGUAAACGUCUGCAUAUCUGUUGAAGGUUCACGCCGCGGAGAUUACUUCUCUUCCCGCCGUCAAUAAGGCAAUGCUGAUCAAACUGUCCAACUUCGAGGAACUUGUUCACAUAAACCUGUUUACAAAUUUGUAAGUGCAUCAGCAUAGCACUUAUGCGUCAGUAAUGUUCAGAAACAGCGAUUUGUAUUGUAUUAUGUCCUUAACUACGCUUAUUUUUAAAGUCUCAGAACGCCUGAAAAUCUGUAACAGAUUAAAAACCAGCUGGGCGGCUUGCACGGCCUGGAGAUUCUGCUAGGUACAGAGAUUACUUUUUUUGGUAUUAGGUUAAACCUGUUUACGUUUUGUAUGUGUCAGUAAUGUUGAAGAACAGAUAUUCUUAUUAGGUUAAAAAAUACAACAUUGUGUCAUGAAAGUAUGAUCAGCAUAAAAGGGUGCUAUCAUCUCCUUGUGUUCCUGCUUAUUUCUGUUAUGAAUUUCUCAUGUAGUACAUCCUUUUCCCUGACCAUUCUUUUCUGGAGUUGGAGAAUAUAGUGAGUAAUAAUUGCUCUGAAGCAGGAACUAUCAUCACUCACUUCAGCCAUUUGUGAGCCAUCCAAGCUUCUUAGCCAUAACGGAAACCACGAGCGAAAAUGAUUUCUUGGGGAAACGGACUCUACUAUACGACCACUGAAAAGUUUCUGCCCUCGCAAAAAAGAACAAAAGGAAAGCUUCAACCUGGAAUACCAAGAAACCGUACUACUGGGCCGUGCGAGGAUGCUGAACAUCACAUACCAACUGCAUAAUUCAAAAAAAGCAAGUAUCUGCAUAAUUCAAAAAAAGCAAGUAUCUGCAUAACCCUACCAACUGCAACUACAAAAUAAAGGAAGAAUUAGAUACCUCUCUCUUCUAUAACAUCAAAAAGACUGCUGCAGUUCGUCAGGGAAACGAUAAUAGAUUAAAGUAAUAUUUGUAAGGCACUCUAAUCAACUAGAGUAAGUUUUUCAUUCUGAUCUGCUAGCGAGGCUAGUUAAUCAUCAAGAGGUUACCCUGACGACAAGAAGUGUUGAUUGCCCCGGAAUUGAUCCCCUGGAAGCCUUUUGAACUACUAUCAGAAACAAUAACUGAAUGACUAGGUACAACCGUACAAGGCCAGGUACAGAUUGAACAAAACAAGAUCUAUGUUCAUUGUAAUACUUGAGGAACGUACAACCAUCUCUCAUAACAUCACAUAUUUUUCUGCUUUGUAUGCACGAUCCAACAAAUAUUUUGCUCAGUAAUCCGUGGCAAAAACACACCACUUGUGCUUGGCUGCUAGCUAUUUACAGCGGUGUCUCAUGGAACAGGCGAAAUGACCACUUUGCCGGCGGCUCUUCCUGUCUCGAGGUAGGAAAACGCCUCCACGACCUGGGAGAAGGGGAAAGGCCCCUUGGGGUCGACCACCGGCUUCACCUUCCCGGACUCGAGGUAAGGGUUGAGCUUCGCCAGGACGGACCCGUCGGAGGUGACCACGAACCGGAACCCCGGCGGCGUGACCGCGCCGGUGAGGACCACCACGCUGCCGCCUUCCUUCACCACCUUGACCGCCUUCUCGCCCUGGCCUGAAACCCCCGAUCGAGCGUGUGACCGUGUGUCAGCUCCGGACUUACGUACUGCUUGCUUGGUGUGUGUGUUUUUGUCAGUGUUCCAUUCUGCUGACACAAAGAGAACUUACCGACUGCGUCGAACACGACGUCGUACUUGUCCGGCAUGUCGUCGAAGCUGUCCUUGGUGUAGUCGAUGGCCACGUCGGCUCCCAGGCUUUUCAGGAGCUCCAGCUUCGGGGUGCUGGCUGUGGCCGCCACCUUCGAUGCGCCGUAAACUUGCUUCGCCAGCUUUAUGGCGCCAUGUUCAGUAUAGGUUAGUGCAUUGACUGGACAUAAAUUCAGUUGUGAGAUUGGACUGAAGCCAGGCAGGAGCAGUGUCGGACCUGGAUGACAAGGGACCCGACUCCACCGGCGCCGCCGAGGACAAGGAUGGACUUGCCGGCGGAGAAGCCCGCCCUCUCGAGGCCCUCGUGGGCGGUCUCGAUGGCGAGCGGCAGACCGGCGGCCUGCGCGAAGUCGAUGCUCUUUGGCUUGAGGGCCACCAGCUUCUCCUCCACGGCGGUGUACUCCGCCAGCGAGCCGAACUGUUUGGGACCCUCGAGGACCUUCUCGCUGAUGUGGCCGUACACCUCGUCGCCCUCCUUGAGGUUCUUUACCUGGCUGCCGACCUUGACGACGACUCCGGCCAUGUCGUACCCUGGCACAGUCUGCAGACCACCAAGUCCACGACACAACACAACACGCAGGUGAUCAAAUCAAGGGCUCGGGCUCGGAAGGACGUGAAGCUGAAGGGGCGCCCGAGCUCACCGGGAGUGGGGAGUCGGUGGCCUUGAACUUGCCCAUGCGCCGCUUGGAAUCGACGGGGUUGAGCGCCGCGGCCGCCACCUUCACCAGCACGGGGAAGAGGCGGUCGAGGCUGCUAUAAGAGGAGGGAGAGGGCAGCAACACAACUCAUACCUUUCUCUGCCUUUUGGCUAAGAUCAAGUGUAGUAUCUGUUUAAUAUCUGAUAUGUGGACUACAGACAGUAGCUUGAUUUCACUGAAUGCUUUUGUGCAACAGAUAGAUAGCUGAGCAAGCAAUCCUCCCUUGAACUGUGUCACAAAAUACGACUGAGCAGGCCCAGACACCCCUAGUCUAUAAAAGUAGGUGAGAAAUGUGCAUUAGGGUAAGAAAGAAGUAAAACAUGGAUGACAUUUUUGGAUUCUAAGAAAAUACUGCUGGGAAAGCAAAUGUCUUAAGCCAUAUUACCUCAACCAUUGCUCAAUAGCUGGGUCUACGACCCGUAACCUGAGACGACCGUUCUAAGAUCUUAGCCUUUCAACUCAACCAGAUUAGCCUUUUUAUUGAACUAUGUUCCCUUUCACUCCCUCAACGGCGCACUGAGGAACACAACAAUCCAACUCGAUCAUCAGAACGUUAGGUUUUAAACACAAGGCGGAUGACGACAAGUUAGCAUACAGGAAAGAUACCUGUGGAAGGCCCAUAUCAUGUAUUCUAUACGAGUGAGUUGAAUUAUCAGAUCCCUUCCUUUCAAAACUGGCAUCUUUUUCAACUCUUGAGAAAAGGUAAGAUUCGAUAGAACGCAGUAACCCAUAGGAAGUCAAGAGCUCACAGUAACCUAAAGCUACCAAUAGCAAAAGAUAGAGGAGGAAUAGUUUCUCAUACCGAGAUAAAAAAACUCAAGUGCCAUCCGUUUCCUAUUUGAUUUCAGAACAGCGGAAUAUCAUCACCCGUGGUUCACUUGAGCAUGAAUAGAGUUCGGUCUCCUUAUGAAUUCAAGUUGGUAAAGAAGUGGAAUUCGAAGCUUUUGCUACAACCCCUCCAAGGUGGCAACUGUCUUAUUUGACACUACCACUUCAAUAAAGAAAGGUAGGAAGGGCUCCCUCCCUCUAAUGAAAUGGGCUUCUUUAAAUUAUGCAAUACGUUCACCAGUCUCGGAUCUUUAGAAAAAGGAACCAAUCCUAUUCGGCACUCUUUAGAGGCUAUCGCUCGUUUACUACAGAUCUCUAUCCCACAGUUGGCUAAUAAAAUCGCCUUGGCAAUGUGUCAAGUCCUUUCAGUCAGAGUUCAACUUUUCAGCGAAAGUGAAAAAUCUACGGUCUUCCAUCCGCGGAGGUAGCCAUGGACUCCAUAGUAUAUGUUGGUAGCUAGCGUACAUGCUUGAUGUGAGGGGGGUUGUUACUUUUCUAUUCCCUUGCUUGGAUAAAACACCCAUCUUUCCAUACGAAAGACACACAACUAGAGCAACUUGAUAUUACGCAUGUAGACGUGGCCUCCCUCAAUAAUAGUUGGCUCAUCCAAUUGACGAUUUUCAAAGAUCUACUCCAAGCGCCUCGAAGCGGGGAUCCACUUUUUACUACUUUAGAAAGUGAGAAGCCUUUGUCUUGAUUUCUUCUGUGGCUUCUUUAUGUUUACCCACACUGCGGCUAUUCAAUAAAAGGAUUGGUAGUUAGUUGCCUCACCUUAUUGGUUGUUGGUUUUCUUUCUCCUCUGCGCUCGUGAAAAGCUAGUAUGCUCGCGGAAAUCGUCUAAAGGAAACUACUCGCUAACUCGCUAACAAGACGAACUUCUUCCUCUGGCUCUGCCAGGCUAUGCUGCUCGCCUAAAUCGGUAUCAAUAACUUCUAUCGUACUUCGACCUCUCAUUGGAAUGAUAAGUUGGCUACAACGAACUAAUAAGUUUCUCUUCUUGUCACCUUCUUUAAGCCUUUCCUCCUGCUUCCAUCGAUAAAUAUAUAUAGAUAAGCUUGGAGAAGCGAUUAAGGUGUUUCCACUCUUAGGUUGUUCAAUAUGCGAAGACCGUGUCAAUCACUACACGAGUGAUACGAAAAGCAAGCAUUCUUCUCCAGCUGACGUACCGACGCCUCACUACUACUUAAUUAGUGAAAGAUACAUUGGGAUGUUUUCAAUUCUCCAUCAAGAGGCGGGCAACUAUCUCUUCUAACACUAGACUUCGGAUCGCCUUCCUACUGGUUUUCUUCUCGGUCUCCCCAACUAGGGGAAACCUCAAAGCAAACAACAGAUCAUCACCUAUCUUUUUUCUUUAAGCACUGAACAUCCGGAUCCCCUUCCGACUUGCUUUUCCGGGCACUGGUCUUUCUAACAACUGGAACUUGUCUCCCUUUUCCUGAUUCACAUCUUCUUUUGCUUUUGCUACGGUAUGUUCCUUCCUUCAGUCAGUCCUUCCUUCAAUAUUUUUGCCUGCGGAUCUCUCUCUUCAAAACAUAUAUAUCUUUCGGUGCCAGUCUUUCCUGCCUUACCUUAACCCCGCUUUCACGUGGAAAAUUGGCAUGAGGUUUCAGUGAUGACUUUAGGGUAUUCUUUAGCUUUCUUGGUCACCGGAGAGAGUGAGAACUGCUCAGCUUGCUUUCUUUCCCUAGCACACACUUAGUAGAUAGUAGGCAUAGGUCCGCUAAGAGCUCAUCGAACUUGACUUGUAGAGUGAGACCUGUGUUCGAUAUGUUUCAUUUCAGUGCUCUUUCUCUCGGUAUCGUUCACCACAUGCCUGUGAUCGAUUCUCUCUCAAGCUAGGUUUGGUAUCGGUAUCGGUGAAGUCCGUCAUUGAAUUGAAGUGGUAGAGUGGUAAGUGGGCAUACGGUCUAUGUAUUUCCUAUCAGUGG
rnacentral:lncRNA from 1 species